rnacentral:rRNA from 1 species
AUGGCGGCAGAGGGGGGCGGCGGCGGCGACGUGGGCAGGGCAGACGGCUGCAAGAAGACGCCGUGGACGCCGGAGGAGGACGAGGCGCUGCGGCGUGGGGUGCGCGAGCACGGGGCGAAGAGCUGGGACGCCAUCGCGCUCGCGCUGCCCGGGCGAGCCUCCAAGUCGUGCCGGCUGCGCUGGUGCCAGCAUCUGUCGCCGGAGCUGGACAGCCGCCCCUUCACGCCCGAGGAGGACGAGGAGAUCAUCAGGAGGCAGCGCGAGUUCGGCAACAAGUGGGCCACCAUCGCGCGCUACCUCACGGGACGCUCCGACAACUCCGUCAAGAACCGGUGGAACUCCACGCUGCGCAAGCAGCUGCUGGGCGCUCACGCCACGGAGGACGACGCCGCCGCCGCCGAAGACGACCAGGCCGUCCGGGUGUGCCUCCAGCUGUUCCCCAUGACGGCCGGGGUCUUGGAAGAGGAGGCAGAGGCCGCUGCGGCGGCAGAGGGCGAUGUAACCACCGACCUGACGCUGGGGUUGCCGGGGCUGGGCGAGGCCUCGGCCGUGGACCUGAGUCUGAGCCUCUGA